rnacentral:rRNA from 1 species
GUAGGUGGCAAGCGUUGUCCGGAAUUAUUGGGCGUAAAGCGCGCGCAGGCGGUCCUUUAAGUCUGAUGUGAAAGCCCACGGGCUCAACCGUGGAGGGUCAUUGGAAACUGGGGGACUUGAGUACAGAAGAGGAAAGCGGAAUUCCAAGUGUAGCGGUGAAAUGCGUAGAGAUUUGGAGGAACACCAGUGGCGAAGGCGGCUUUCUGGUCUGUAACUGACGCUGAGGCGCGAAAGCGUGGGGAGCAAACAGGAUUAGAUACCCUGGUAGUCCACGCCGUAAACGAUGAGUGCUAAGUGUUAGGGGUUUUCCGCCCCUUAGUGCUGCAGCUAACGCAUUAAGCACUCCGCCUGGGGAGUACGGCCGCAAAGGCUGA